CACAGCCCCGGGAACAGAGCUGCCAUUUUUGUUUGGGCUGCUGAGUCAGGAAACUGACAUUCUCCUGUUGUGCUUUUAAAAGUAUUUGCUCUAACUUCAUUUUUUUUUCCCUCUGACAGCUGAAGCAGAAAGAGAAGACCAACUGAGAUCGUCGAUGUUGUGCUCUACCUGAUUUCCUUCUACAUCUGGAUAUGAGAAUGGAAGGUGUUCCUCACGACACCUGAGUUUUCCUCUGUUUGUUUGUUUGGUUCACAUCGUCAGACAGGAGGUCAUAUCUCAGAAAGACGGGGUUGUCACUGCCUUAAGGAGAUAUCUGGGACAACGAAUGAAAAGCAAAGACAAGAAAUGUUUCUGACCUGCCAGAGGGGAUCGUGACUUCCACGAGGCAAGACUGCAGCUCGCUUGAUUUGUUCACUGCUUUCCAUCCAAAAACUUCUGAAUCAUUCUCAGCACCAUAGUGAACAUACUCCUUUUUCCCUUCGUGACAGAUGUAGUCCUGCAAACAUAAAUAAUCUCAGGCCCUCACUCUCAUUUAGUUGAUUACUAGCAUUUCAAU